GGUGGCUCAGUGGUAGAGUGCUUGCCUUGCAUGCUUGAGGCCCUGGGUUCGAUUCCCAGCACCA
rnacentral:tRNA from 1 species